rnacentral:rRNA from 1 species
UACGGAGGGGGCUAGCGUUGUUCGGAAUUACUGGGCGUAAAGCGCACGUAGGCGGCUUUGUAAGUUAGAGGUGAAAGCCCGGGGCUCAACUCCGGAAUUGCCUUUAAGACUGCAUCGCUAGAAUUGUGGAGAGGUAAGUGGAAUUCCGAGUGUAGAGGUGAAAUUCGUAGAUAUUCGGAAGAACACCAGUGGCGAAGGCGGCUCACUGGCCCGAUACUGACGCUGAGGCGCGAAAGCUAGGGGAGCAAACGGG